rnacentral:lncRNA from 1 species
GCACUCCAGCCUGCAUAAUAGAGUGAAAAUGUGUGAGAGAAAAAAAAAAGGCAACCCACACUUUGGGAACACUGAGCUACUCUUUAUGAUAUCCAAUUACCCUGAAGCUGCAUGUUGGAAAGGCCAUGUGGAGAUAUCAUGUAGAGGGAGAGAGAGGCCCAAUGAACCUCAACUAUUUUAGCUCUCAUUUUUGCAUCUUCCUAGUGAACUGACAGACAAAGGCUGGGAGCUGGAACCUUCUGAAGGCUCAUUCACUUGCAUGUCUGUCAUGAAGCUUCAGGGCAGCUCCAGCUGAUGCCAGGCUACUGGGUGAAUAUAACACAGGAGAUAUUUCUUCAGGGCCUCUGGGAAGCUAGAGAAAGAAAGAAUAAUUGAAGUGGUCCAGAAGGAAGAGAAACAUGUGACAGGCUAUGCCUGGUACCUCCAGACCAGAGGAGAGAACUCGGGAAAGCAGCAGGCAGUCCAGAAUGGCGAUGGGAAGAUCCAGAGGCAGCAAAGGCUUCUCUCCGCCAUGUGAAAGGCCUGAGUUUAGAUACCUCAGGGAAGUUUUAAUGCCAACCUUCUGUAAAACCCCCAUUCUCUAACGUAUGGCUUUAAUUAACAAUCAUGUAUCACUAUUGGUUUGUUAAUCAUAGCAAAUGGACCAUACUCCUGUAAGAUGUUAUCAACAGGAAAAAUUGAGGGAGAGGUAUAUGAAGCUCUGCACUAUCCUUGCAAUUUUUCUGUAAAUCUAAAACUGUUGUAAAAAAAAAUAAAGUUGGGGGAGG